UCUCUUUCACUGUCUGUAGAAUAGAGCGUGUUAAUAUGAUAGGUUGAAUACAUAACUUACGAUGAUAUGCUAAUAAAGGGGGUAAAGCCCCCUCUAUAUAACCUGUGUGCAUUAAAAAUAAACCUCAGAGUGUUCAUUCAGUACAUCACUGUUGUGUCUUUUAUUACCUACUGAGUGAAGCGCUCUCCUGACGUCAGAAAAGGACUCAAACCAAGCCGAUACUAGAAGUUUGGUGCCAGGGGUACCAAGUGGGACGUUGAGAUUCCUAUCAGUUUGGGGGCUCGUCCGGGAUCGAGAAGGUCAUCGGGUUUGGUAAGAAAGGCAUCUGUUAUUGUCCUCUGGCCUAUCCGACGACCACGUCUCGAUCUAGAACCCACCCACCCAUACAGGGUGGGGGAUGAGGUAGUGAUCAAAACUGAAGAAAGGAAAAUCCCAAGGUGACUUCGCAUAUGGCCCACCCACUACCGUGGUCGCAGUAACCAGAACAGCCGUGCUGACUGAACAAUCUUCAACUUGGAUCCACGCCACCCGAGUGAAGCUUGUGAGAACAAGAGAGGAGGCAGGAACGGAGGCAGACAGCCUUGGCCUUGAAGAAGGACAAGAGGUACUAACGGGGGCAGACAGCCCUGACCUCCAACCAGGCCCAGAGGUACUAACGGGGGCAGACGGCCCUGACCUCCAACAUGAUGAGCUCCUCACUCUUUUCUGGAAAAUGGUUGAAUGUACUGACUAAGAUUGCUUCAAUAAUCUUGUUGAUUUUACCAAUUAGCAGUAUGGGAGAAGUAGCCGCAACUAGCAAGGGCGGCGUCAUCACCUUUUGGUAUAAUUCAUCUAACCCUCACGUAGCUACCUACACCUUUUGUCUUUGUGAUAUAUUGAAAACAUGUUCAUAUUAUAACUACUGUUCCAACAA